UACGUAGGGCGCAAGCGUUGUCCGGCAUUAUUGGGCGUAAAGAGCUCGUAGGUGGCUUGUCACGUCGGGUGUGAAAGCUUGGGGCUUAACUCCAGGUCUGCAUUCGAUACGGGCUGGCUAGAGGUAGGUAGGGGAGAACGGAAUUCCUGGUGUAGCGGUGAAAUGCGCAGAUAUCAGGAGGAACACCGGUGGCGAAGGCGGUUCUCUGGGCCUUACCUGACGCUGAGGAGCGAAAGCGUGGGGAGCGAACAGG
rnacentral:rRNA from 1 species